rnacentral:rRNA from 1 species
UACGAAGGGGGCUAGCGUUGCUCGGAAUCACUGGGCGUAAAGGGUGCGUAGGCGGGUCUUUAAGUCAGGGGUGAAAUCCUGGAGCUCAACUCCAGAACUGCCUUUGAUACUGAGGAUCUUGAGUUCGGGAGAGGUGAGUGGAACUGCGAGUGUAGAGGUGAAAUUCGUAGAUAUUCGGAAGAACACCAGUGGCGAAGGCGACUCACUGGACACGUAUUGACGCUGAGGUGCGAAAGCCAGGGGAGCGAACGGG